GCCUACGACCAUAUCACCCUGAAUGCGCCCGAUCUCGUCUGAUCUCGGAAGCUAAGCAUGGUCGAGCCUGGUUAGUACUUGGAUGGGAGACUGCCUGGGAAUAUUAGGUGUUGUAGGCU
rnacentral:rRNA from 1 species